GGGGAGAUGGCUCAGUGGUUAAGAGCACUGGCUGAUUUCCCAGAGGAUCUCCCCA
rnacentral:tRNA from 1 species